ensembl:lncRNA
GAAGCAGACGAGUUCCAAUUCAGAAUCAUCGUGAAGGACAAACCACUCACUAGAAGAGGAGUGCUCUCAACUAUCGCCUCUGUCUUCGACCCACUUGGCUUUGUGGCGCCAUUCAUACUGCUCGGUAAGCAGAUUCUUCAAACACUGUGCAGCGAGAAGGUAACCUGGGACGAAGCGCUUCCAGAACACGUUCGCCCACGGUGGGAGUCAUGGCUGAGAGACUUACCUGAGCUGGCAUCUUUGAAAAUCCCAAGAAGUUACUCACCUGAAGAAUUCGGGAAGACUUCAAAGUAUGAACUACACAACUUUUCAGACGCAAGUUGCAUAGGCUACGGUGCCUGCUCGUACCUUCGAGUCACAAGUGAAACCGGACAGGUCAGCUGUUCACUCAUCAUGGGAAAGUCGAGGGUCGCCCCCACGAAACUGACCACAAUCCCAAGACUUGAACUAUCAUCUGCAGUCACCUCUGUGCGCAGUGGUGACUCCAUCAGAGGAGAGCUGGAAAUAGAAGCUCUGCCAGAGUACUACUGGACUGAUUCAAAGGUAGUACUAGGCUAUGUGAAUAAUGAUGCCAAGAGAUUCCAUACAUUCGUUGCGAACCGCAUACAGCGAAUCAAAUCAAGUACCGACUCUGCACAAUGGCACCAUGUCAGCUCCGAAGACAACCCAGCAGACCUGGCGUCUAGAGGAGCCAGUGCAGCCCAAUUGAAGGACUCUUGUUGGUUGAAGGGACCAGACUUCCUUUGGCAACCCAAUCUGUCAAUUAAAGAACCAAUAGUAGAAAUGGAUGAUGCUGACCCAGAACUGCGGAAAGCCUAUGUUCAUACUGUCAAAGUCGAAAUCAAAAACCCAUUGCUCAGCCAUCUAAGUAAGUUCUCAGACUGGUCAAGAGCUGUGAAGGCUGUCGCUAGACUAAAGAAAUACAUCAGGAAACGUAGUGGAGGUCAAGUAGGGACCGGCGAAACUACAAACCUGGAAGAGAGACGCGAAGCAGAGCUGUUCAUCAUCAAGCUUACACAAGAGGAAGCCUUUGCUGAUGAACUAAAGAAAAUCAAAUGCAACGGAGCUGAAAAACUCUGCAAGCGCAACAAGCUCUACCGACUGAACGCCUACCUUGAUGUGAAUGAUAUCCUCAGGGUGGGAGGACGGUUGUCUCAGUCAGCUCUGCACCACGAUGUGAAGCAUCCAGCAAUACUGCCACGGAAAGCACACGUGUCAGACCUGAUUGUCAAGUAUCACCAUGAACGUGUACACCACCAAGGAAGAGGGAUGACAAUGAACGAGAUACGCGCAAAUGGCAUAUGGAUUCUUGGAUGCGGAAGUGUCGUCUCCUCUCACAUCUACAAGUGCGUCCCAUGCAGAAAGUAUAGGAGAACCACAGAAGUUCAACAAAUGGCAGAUCUCCCAGAAGAGAGAACUCUGACAAGUCCUCCAUUUACCUACUGCGGACUCGACUGCUUUGGUCCAUUCCUUGUGAAAGAAGGAAGAAAAGAACUUAAACGAUAUGGGUUGAUCUUUACCUGCUUAUGCUCUAGAGCAGUGCAUAUAGAGACCCUAGACGACAUGACCACUGAUGCGUUCAUUAACGCCCUCAGAACACUCAUAGCCAUCAGAGGCCCUGUGCGACAACUGAGGUGUGAUCAGGGGACAAAUUUUAUGGGUGCUAGAAGAGAGUUUGCAGAGCUACUCAAGGGCAUGGAUCAAGAGCGCCAAAGGGAAAUCGGUUGUGAAUUCAUUGUGAACAUCCCAUCAGCAAGUCAUAUGGGUGGAGUCUGGGAGCGCCAAAUUCGAACAAUUAGAAGCAUCCUGACGACCAUGUUCGACAAGUGGGCAAACAGACUUGACACCACAAGCUUGAAGACGCUCAUGUACGAAACGAUGGCCAUUAUCAACAGCCGACCUUUGAGUGUUGAACAUCUCCACGACCCAACAGCUCCAGAGCCUCUUACGCCAAACCAUAUUCUCACCAUGAAAUCUGCAGUCAUACUGCCACCUCCUGGACAGUUCUGUAAAGAGGAUCUGUAUCUGCACAAGAGAUGGAGAAAGGUGCAGUUCUUGGCGAAUGAAUUCUGGCAAAGAUGGAAGCGAGAAUAUCUGCUGAACCAACAACAACGUCAGAAAUGGCACGGACCAUCAAGGAACUCACAAGUGAACGACAUUGUGAUCCUCAAGGACGAGUGCGCCCCAAGAAAUGAAUGGAAGCUCGCAAGAGUAAUCGAAGCUCAGCCUGGAAGAGAUGGCAAAGUGCGCAAGCUGAAGCUGGUGCUCAGUGAGACUUCUGUCGACAAGGGCAAACCUCACACAAGACUGAUUCAUUUAGAAAGACCUAUUCACAAAAUAGUAACGCUAGUAGAAGCCGUUUAGGACGCACACACACACACAGGCUACACACACAGUCAUGCACACACGCACACAGAUACUUAAAACUGGUGAAGAUAAAGGGAGAAAUCCCACAUCUCAGGUCAAUGAGUGAUUUGGUGGGAGUGUAGCUGUUGCUGAAAGAGUACUUUAAAUAGGGUACAUGUCAUAUUAUAUAAAUGCUUUAAAUAUGUGUAAAUAAAUAAAUAUUAAUAAAUAAGUUCAUGAUGAGCAAGGUUAUAAAAUAUGAUUACAAAUGUGUGAUUGUUCAUCUCCUGGAGAGAACGUAUGUGUAUUUUGUUAAUUGUGUUGCAAGGCGGAACAAUUGUUGUAAUGUUACGCCCCCCACGGACUGAUAAGAGGAGAGAACAUGCAAGAAAGUUGGAGCCAUAAGCACGUUGUCUUCAGCUCCUCAAAAGAUUUACAAGUUAAAUGCACUGUAUGAUAAGAAACUUCAAGCAAACCUCUGUUAGAACCUCUUUUCGUUACAAGCAGCCAACGAGUUCUCACGGCGUGGAUGGUGUGUACAGCAAGAAGAAAGGCAUCAAUAAACG